rnacentral:sRNA from 1 species
UUCCGAAAAUCAGGUGUGACGUAGGGU